UACGGAGGGUGCGAGCGUUGUCCGGAAUCACUGGGCGUAAAGGGCGCGUAGGUGGCGCGGGAAGUCAACGGUGAAAGUUCGGGGCUCAACCCUGAAUCGGCCGUCGAUACUCCCGGGCUCGAGCACUGUAGAGGCAGAUGGAAUUCCGGGUGUAGCGGUGGAAUGCGUAGAGAUCCGGAAGAACACUGGUGGCGAAGGCGGUCUGCUGG
rnacentral:rRNA from 1 species